UACGGGGGGGGUAAGCGUUGUUCGGAAUUACUGGGCGUAAAGGGCUCGUAGGCGGCCAACUAAGUCAGACGUGAAAUCCCUCAGCUUAACUGGGGAACUGCGUCUGAUACUGGAUGGCUUGGAUUCGGGAGAGGAAUGCGGAAUUCCAGGUGUAGCGGUGAAAUGCGUAGAUAUCUGGAGGAACACCGGUGGCGAAGGCGGGAUCCUGGGCCAGUACUGACGCUGAGGAGCGAAAGCGUGGGGAGCAAACAGG
rnacentral:rRNA from 1 species